UACUACAAUAUCAAUCAAUAUGCUCAAGUGGAAUCAAUUCACACUUGGCGACAUUCAUGAAAAUGAAUUAAGAAUGCUCAUGGUGCAAAGUACAUGAUUUCCACUCACCUGUCAAUCUAGCACAGCCCUGAUACGCCUCCAAAAAUCUACAGUAGACAGUAGGGGACUUCCUCCUCUCGUUCCCUGGCUUCUUGCCCAACUGAUACAUGCAUUUACAAUACAUUUAGUCUUGUAUCAAGGGCCAUAAUCUACGUGCCAAUCAUAAAUAUAGAAAACUUUAAUUGAUUCAACUCCUCUCUUUUUUAAAUCCUUUCCUUUUCUUUUUUUCUAUCAAUUAAUCUUUUCCUUAUAUGUAUUAUGAUGCAAAAGCAUCACACACAUACCUUAGGUCACUUCUAUAGGGUCAAGGUGCGAGAAAGAGUUAAAAUCCUCCUUCACUAAAAAUUUCACUGAAGCAUGAGUCGACCCCGACUACAGAGCUGCAAAACUUCAUUUUCUGGACUCUCAGAGAGAGUCGACCCUCAACCUCGUGAGUCGACCCUAAUCUGCCCCGAGUCGACUCCAAUUGACCUCGAGUCGACUCCGGCGCGUUUUGAGGCAACUCCCAUUAUUUUUCUCACCUUCUUCAUCUCGGAUGAACAGUAAUCCGGACUGACAGCGGGUUACUUCAUCCCGAUUUUGAUCCACUUUCCGAACUUCAAUUUUUAUGAAAUUUAUACCCAAUGUUCUACACUCAUAGGAAAUUCCAAAGAGGUAAGAUGCAUUGCUAUCGGAGGCCGAUUGAUCCCCAAAACAAUUUGCCGAAGUUGGGACUUCGACACAGUUUUUCCGUAGCCUCGGAAAAAUUUGUCGAAAUCUGAUUUCCUCUCUUUUAACCACUUCUAACAGUUCUAUCUAACCUCUCUAGACCAAAUCCACCCUUUAUAUAGCCUAAUUUCAUUUGAAGACUAGGUAGAGACGGGUAUUUACUUUUUUCAUUUUGAAAAAUCGAGGUCUUUGCGUAGAGGGGAAGGAGACCUACGCUUUUCCCUUCAGCUGGUAGCGCAACCGGGGCUCCCUUCCACUCGAAUCCCCUUCCCUUCUUCUUCUUUUUCUUCUUAUCCUCUCUUUUUUUUUUCUUCCUCUCUGUUUGAUUCCACCGCCUGAGACUCCCUCUCCUUCUCUGUUUUAUUCCACGGACACAGCACCAACCCCCUAAUUAAGUCACAUCAAGCACUAUUCACCCUUUGUUUAAUAUUAUUGAAUUUCCAUUUUGUCCCUAACACUUCAACACACCUACUGUUAUGCCAUUAACUUUUGUUUUCUUCCUAUUUUGCCCCUAACACUUCAACGCAUCUACUGUUAUGUCAUUAACUUUUGAUUCCUUCCAAUUUUACCCCUUAUAUCAAUUUUUAAGGACUAUUCUAUCAUUCUUUAUAUAUAUUAAAAAAAAAUUUAGGGUUAUUGCAACCAUCAUCUCUUCCACCUUUGUUGUGGUCGUCGUUACCGUAUCUAAAAGCUUUGAAGACCCCUAUUGUUAAUCUAUCGAUCUCUAUUCUCGGGUGAAUCAGCACCCGAAAAUUUUCUAUUUUUUGGUAAAUAUGCAGAUCCUCUAUUUUCUAAUGAAUCAAUAUUGAUCUCAUUAGUAGAUCUACAUAUCCUCUAUUUCUGGUAGAUUAAUAUCCGAAGAUUCUUUGUUUUCUAUAAAUCCGCAGCUUCUCUUCACUGCUUUUCUCCUCAGCUUCAGAUUCCUCCAGCUCUUCUUCUUUAAACAAGCCAUGUUAGUAACCAACUAGAAAUUUUUCUUUAAACUUGAUCACAAGAUUUACAUCACCUAUCCUUGCUCACGCCUCCUUUCCUGCCAACUGAUGGCCCAGAAGAAAUUACUUCUUAUUCCGCACAUGUCAGUUGCUCAUAGCUGGUAAAUAAUAUGACUUUACAUUAUAUGAUUCAGGCUCGAUGCCUAGAGAAAUUAUAUCCUACACAUCCUUUCCUAUGUGCAUAGCUAUGCACUCUGUAGCCGUACCCGUAGAUAAUCACAUCCGCUUGUUUCUAUAAUGAUAUACUAAGAUGAGCAAUUGAUAUAUGGAUUUUAUAGAAAUGAGCGAUUAUAAUUAGUUGCGUGCAUGACAUGGUGCGUCCAGUGUAAGGUAUAAUCUCUUUAAUUUCUAAGGGGCGGCUGAAUCUGUGGCUUGUUGUGGCUUUACUUUUUGGGUCAAAGUAGUAGCUAUAAGAUAACCUACCAAAUUAACUAAACCUAACCCAACUGCCCAAAGGUACCGAAGCUCCCAACCCAUGUCUCUGACGACGAGCUCGUUUUGCCGAGAAAAUUCAAGAGGAGGACCAUCUUUAUUUAACAAUCGCACUUCUGUAGAUCUUUUGCCGCCAGGUGUGGCUGUUUUUAUCCGGCAUGUUCCCAUCACUGAAUGAAAGUACGAGCCAUUCGACAAUGGCAUGGGCACUAGGUUCCAAUUAUGGAGACGCUCUUUGUCGAGUCAACUAAAUUUGUGUAGCUCGUCCAAUUUGAAAUCAAUUUGGAGUUGGAUUGUAGCCUAGAGGGUGAUGCAAGAGGGCCAUAAUUUAACAUCUAGAUAGCGCUGCCUGAGACUAUAAACUCUCUCUCUUUUUUUUAUUUAAAUAAAUUACAAAUUUUUUUUUGAUAUUAGAGAUAAAUUACACUUACAUUCAAUUGUUUAAAAAAGUUUAUGCUUAUCCCCUUAAAGCUUAUUUUUUAUGCAAUAUUUUAAUCUAUAACUUAAUAGAACAUUAGUCAAACUGCUAAUCUUAAAUAAGAUCCAAAUACCAUAUUAGAAUUUUUUUUAAAAUGAACAAAAUAACUAACAGUCACCCAUAAGAAAUAUUCAUUCAUCUCAUUUCCAUCCAAAGGCAAUUUAAAUUUUUUACAUAAAAUAAAUAGUUUCAUUAAUUUUCUUAAUUUAACUGGAUGUAAGUGUAGGUUUUACAAACUAUUGGAUGUAAUUAUAAUAAAUAUAAAUCUCAAUGAGAUUUUUGUAAUUUGUUUUUUAUUUUAUACUUCGAAAGAUAAAAUAAAAAGGUUUGCUCUCUGAAUCCAUGUUUGGAGAGGAUAUACUGAUAGACAUAUGAUGCAGCAUUUUAUUGUGUGCGUGCGGUAUUGUAACGAGGAUAAAAUACAUAAAACUUAUUAUCACGUCUAUGUGAUUUGAGUAUUAGCUAAGUUUACAAUUUAUUUGGGAGGCUUAUAACUAAAAAAAUUGGUACGAGAUCUUUAAUGAAACAUAUGACUCGUCAUCUCUAAUCUUUGCUUUCUAGAAGAAUCAAAUGACUAUUAUAACUAGGUGCAAGCAUGGCAUUAAUGUAGUGUUUUCCUGACCCUACUCCUUGGUAAAAUAGAUAGUGAUGUCCUGCAUUACUAAAUGCUUCUCGCUUUCAUGGCAUUAUUGAUGUUGAGACCUAGACAUGAAAAAAAAAAUUGUUGUCCACAUUAGUCGCUAUAUGGGACCACCAGUGCCGCUAUUUUGGACCACCAAUAUUUCACUUGAUUGGCUCACAUUGUUAUGCCGAUUAAAGCUUCUUUUUGGUUAAUGAAAGGACAACAUGUGAUUGCUGGUAUCGAAAUCCUAAAGACACAUAAUUUAUACAGAAUCAGCUGUAGUUGUAUUCCAUGAUUAAUAUUCGUAGUGAAUAUAAGAAUUUCGUAAAUGCUCUCUUGGCAGCAUAAAAAUUUUAAAAUAAGCUGUUCUGAAAAAGAAUUUUGAAAUAUGGUCUCUUGGAAACUAAGCGGCCAGAUUAAUUGGAUGUAAGUAUGAAAAAUAGAUAUCUAAAAUAGGUCGUGCAUCAGUGCAUGGUAGCCUUUCAUUCAAGCUUUAUGUCAUAGCAAAAUUAAGCCACAUCUUCUCUACAAAAAAAGUGGGAGUGGAAAAGAAAAGGACAGAAAGCUCUACCAGCCUAGUAUCUCUUUAAUUAACAACACUGGAAAAAAACAUGGUACCAGGAGAUUCGUUUGUUGUUUGCAAUUUUAGGUGAUAUGCCUAAGAUUCUAUAUUAAAAUGAACCAAUAGCAGCUUGCCAUAUGGCCUCCACCGAAGGCACCAUAGAGUCAUUUAAAACUAUUACAAUGGAUGACUGUUACAGCUUGCCUAUCUAUGCACGUUAAGCCCAUUGACGUGCAUAACUUGCAGAUGAAUAUUGAGCACUUAGCGUGCAUGUCUGUCUUACUAGGUAAUAGGCAUUACUCUCACUCUAUAUAAUAUACAUUCAAGUAUGCUUGUUUUUAUACUCCUAUACCAUUUUAUUUUCUUUCAAGCCUCCGCUGUUUCUCUAAAUUUCUAUCGGUCUUAGACAUCAAAGGAUUCUCCAUCGGGCUUUUAUUUUCACGUCGGUCUUCUAUCUCCAAAUAGAUUAUUUCGUCUGAGCAUAACCGACCACACUCCAUUUGCUAGCUCGUCCAGUCCUCUCAGCCCGAAUUUUGGCAGAAACAUUAGACAGAUCCAACUGAUAUCGGUGCGUUAUUUGGCCGUUAUGAGUAAGAAAGGUUUUAAAGUAAUGGCCGUAAUAAAAAAAAGCUGCUACGUACGAUGAUUUCGCCCCCUUCAUUGCAUCACAUACACAACGAGAGAAAAGGAUAGCAGCUAUGUUAGAAUGGAUUAUUAAGUAUUUCAGUAUCCAGGUAUAACACAAAAGGUCUUUGUUAUUUACAUUUAUAUUAUUAAAUUAAAUAUUAGUUAAAUUUCAAAGUUUUAACAAUUUUUCUCUCAAUUAAAGCUUAUACCUUCUAAGAAAAAAAGAGAAAACAUUAAACAAAUAGUUAUUUGAAAUUACCCUUAUCGAUCUUUCAUUAUCUGUUGCAUAUAUUUUAUUAUAAUACCAUUGUAAAAAUUAUAUUAAUAGUAAAAUUUUGAUAUCACACAUUGUUAGACAAAUAAUAGUUAUUAUAUUAUAUAUAACAAUUAGUAGUGGUUUUGAUAUAAUACUGUUAUAAUCUGUAUAACAAAGAGUUAAUAUAAUAUAUAUAAUUAUUGACGCUCUUUCCAUUCCAUCUGAACGUGUCGUAGGAUCUCCUGGCACAGUUCUGUCCAGAUAUAGUGGAGAAGAAUGAUGACAAGCCAGAUAGUGCGAGUUAGUGUAUGCAAGUAUACCACCAACACUGGAUUAGCCAGAAAAUGAUCGAAGUUAAGAUAGAAAGUAGCAUAGGUCCAAAUACCUUGAUCUGCAUAAAUUUUUACUACCGUCAUACCACCAUUCAAUGGAGAUGGCUAAGGGAUGUAGCGCUACGCUACAAUUAAGGGACAUAAUGUUGAGCUACCAUAUUGAAAGUUAAGUUACUCCUAUUCUUAAGGUAGAAAGUACGACAGACUAAGAUAAAUAAAAUGCAUUGAAUUGAUUAUCGAAGAGUCCAUUGUAAAGGACAAUUUUUACUUAUUUAUAUUAGUAGACAAUAAAUGCAUACUCUAACGGUUGCCACCACGUCUAGCCUCCAUGCUAGAUGGUUUUAAUAUAUGACACUAGUUAUUCUCUACUAUUUAUGUUUGUCAGCACAGUUAUCUAGCGACUGUUAGGCUAAUAAUCAUAUUUUUUCAGGUUUGGCUUAUUCAGAUAUCUUACAUUGGCUGUCUUUCUUCACUUUGACCUAUAACAUGUUUUUCUAUACUUUGGGAAUGUCUUAGAGAUUGGUUAAAUCACUUGACCUACUCCUACCAACUAUUCAUCUUUAUGAUGGCUAGUUCUUAAGCUUUCAAUCUGCUUAUCAACACCAGGACCGAACCCUCUAAUUCCUUCGGACUAUGCUUUCUCAUUAAGUGAAAUUUAUCACGAUUGGAACUCUAUCCAAUUCAACAAAAGUCAUAUGACCCUCCUCUACCUGAUCCACAUAACGGUUGCUCUCAGCCGCCAACUGGAUUAAGAUGGGACGCAAAUAAUGCCUUCGAUAUCUUCUUGGCUUAUAAUCAAGAGACUAGGAGGAUGUCUGUCAUCAUAUGCUCGAUAUCUGCAGAGUCAUAAUCCUAAUUCGUUGAUCGAUUAUUAUUUUCCUUUGAAUGAAGUAUCGCUUCAAUAAUCUGCUCAUAUUUUUCUAUUUCCCCCAAGCUUGAUACUUUUUUCAUGAUGUAUUUUCAUGUACCAAAAAGGUCCGCACAUCGCUCAAAAGAUCUUCCACAUCCAUAAGGAUCCGACUAUCUUUGUAUUAAUGGCUUGGGCGCCAGAUUCUUCAUCGUUUGUCCUACCUCUUGGCAGAUCAAGCCGACAAUCUUCAAUAUUAGUCAAAAGAGCCGAAUCGUGUCCUUGGACUUAGAGUUGAUCGACCUUCGUUAAAAAGUACGAUUCUUGGAGAAACCUACGAACUAGCAUCCAAAGUUCUCCAAGAGGAGUAGAAAAAACUAAAAAAUUAUAAAAAGGUUGGUAGCAUGGAAUCCGUCAUAGUGAAAUAUUAUCAUCUAUACCGACUUAUUGGUCGAAACUCUUGUGGAACUUCUUACUAGAUAAUAUGUAAUACUAUUGUUUAUUCUGCCUUUAUACUAUUAUUUUUGAUCUUUGAACGGCCUUUUUAUAUAGCAUUGAGAGCCAUACUAUCUGUAAUCUUAUAUGAAGAACUUUAUCAUUAGUAAUGCCGAGUACCAGGCCAAAUCAACCCUUGUGUUGUUCCAUUGUCUCUCGGCAUAUGGCAAACGAAUCAUAUAGAAAAACUCUUAAAGCAUCCUUCAAGAAAGUUGCCCUCCAAUCAUUGUGAUGCUUACAGCUAGUUCUAUAAAACAGUUAUAUUCUUACCUUUUACUGUUGGGCGAAUGACCAUGAAUUAAUGUCAGCAAGUAAUUGUUGUCUUCACCAACGGUUUUCUCUAACUCGCUCUGACUAACAAUCUCAAACAUCAGCCACGCAUUGAUUCAAAUAUCCCCUGAUAUUUCAGUUUGCUACAACCUUGAUGGUGUCACUUUUGUAAUGCCUCAGUCAAUGGAUUCCAGAGCUCCAUUAUAUCGUCUUUGGCUGUUAUUUCCUAAUGAGUUAAAGCUUCAAAUUUUGAUUCUUCAUAUGUUGCAGUAUUUUCAUGUAGAACCAAUUCAUUCUCUAUUAAGACGGGAGUAAGAGGUACCCAAUCUAGUUAUUUGAUUUUUUUAUAUUCAAAUGUUCAUUGGAAUGUAUGGGGUAAAACACUUUUCCAACAAGAAAAAUGGAUAAUUUUGAAAAAUUGGUACAUAUAUAAUUUCUCACUUUCUAAAUUUAUUUAUUUUAUUUAAUUUAUAAAUAAAUGAUUUCAUUAUCUAGGAUGGGUCAAUUUACUCCUAUGGAGUAAUUUAUUUUGGAUUAAACACACACAAAAACAAGUAAGUUAACACAUUUAUUUCGAUUAACUCAUUUUGCUUCCAAGUAUGAGGAUAAUUUGAUAUUUAAUAUGAUGCAAGUUGUACAUUAUUUCUUUGUACAAUGCAACCAAUUUAUGCAACUUGUAAGAACAGUUCUUUGACGAUUUAUAUUGUCGUCCUCUUUUUUAAAGGGUGAUCUUUUUGAUCUUCUAUUUGGAGAAACACAAUGUUGCACAAACAAAUCCUAUAUACGAGAUUCAUACUUCGUCUUAGUUACGUGAGAUAUUAAUUCUACGAACGGCAUUUGAAUGCUAAUACGGUUUUACCACCCAUGUUACUAAGUUCUAACCUUGCGCCAAAAAGUCAGGCCCGUGCGACGACUUUGACGAGUCUUCAAGACUCUCAAACUCACAUGGCCUCCAUAUUCAAUUAUUUAAGCUAUCAUGCUCUUGACCGCAACUCCAAUCCAGUCCCUCGCUCUACUGGCGCAGUAUCUCUUCUCCUCCCUCAAAGAACGCAUAUCGCCAGCACAGAAAUGGAUAACCAGAAACCUAGAGCACCAGCAAAUUCUGAUCCUCCUCCCAACCAAACUCUAGCCAUGGAAAAGCCAAAGAAGCCUCCAAGAAACAAAUACGCCUUGGCCUGUGCCACGCUUGCUUCCAUGACCUCAAUCCUCUUGGGUUAUGGUACAAAUACUAACUCUUUAAGUGUCAUGCUUAUGAAGUCAGCCGCAGUAUUUUGCGGUUUCUAGUACUAGUCUUUUCUAAUUCUUCUACUACAUGUUUACAGAUAUCGCGGUGAUGAGUGGUGCUUCUGUUUUCAUUAAAAAAGACCUGAAAAUAAAUGACACCCAGAUCGAAAUCCUCGCCGGCAUCAUCAACAUCUUCUCCCUUGUAGGCUCCAUCGCCGCAGGCCGGACCUCCGACUGGAUUGGCCGCCGCUACACAAUUAUAUUCGCGGCUGCCAUCUUCUUCGCCGGGGCCCUCCUGAUGGGCUUCGCCACAAACUACGCCUUCCUAAUGGUCGGCCGCUUCAUCGCCGGCGUCGGCGUCGGCUACGCUCUCAUGAUCGCCCCCGUCUACACCGCCGAGGUCGCCCCCACCUCGUCCCGCGGCUUCCUCACGUCCUUCCCGGAGGUAUUCAUCAACUCCGGCGUUCUCCUCGGCUACGUCUCCAACUUCGCCUUCGCAAAGCUGCCGUAUCACCUCAACUGGCGCAUUAUGUUCUGGGUCGGGGCGGUGCCGCCGAUCUUCCUAGCCAUCGCUGUCCUCGCCAUGCCCGAGUCGCCUCGGUGGCUCGUCAUGCAGGGCCGGCUUGGCGCGGCCAAACGUGUCCUCGCCAAGACCUCGGACGCGCCGGAGGAAGCCCAACUCCGGCUCUUGGAGAUCAAAGAGGCCGCUGGAAUACCCGAAAACUGCAACGACGAAGUCGUCGCAGUAUCGAAGAAAAGCCAUGGGGAGGGCGUGUGGAAAGAGCUUUUACUCAGACCGACACCGUCGGUGCGCCGUAUACUGAUCGCCGCAAUCGGUCUACAGUUCUUCCAGCAGGCUUCAGGCAUCGACUCGGUGGUGUUGUACAGUCCUCGAGUGUUUGAGAAGGCCGGGAUCAAGUCGGAUUCCAAUUCCUUAGGCGCCACGGUGGCCGUCGGGUUCAUGAAGACGGCGUCGGUCUUGGUGGCGACAUUCUUACUGGACCGUGUCGGGCGGCGGCCGUUGCUCCUAAGCAGCGCCGGAGGGAUGGUUAUUUCUCUCGUGAUUCUUGCUUCCUGUUUGUCAGUUAUCGAACAUCAUCCUCACGAGAAGCUGACAUGGGCGGCGGCGAUGUCGAUCGCGACUGUGCUGACCUUCGUCGGCUCGUUCUCCAUCGGCCUCGGGCCGAUCGCGUGGGUGUACACCUCGGAGAUCUUUCCGCUGAGGCUGAGGGCGCAGGGGGUGAGCUUGGGGACGGGCACCAACAGGAUUCUGAGCGGGGUGGUCACCAUGACGUUUAUAUCGCUCUACAAGGCGAUUACCAUAGCUGGGAGCUUCUUUCUUUACGCCGGGAUUGCGGCGGCCGGGUGGCUCUUCUUUUAUUUCUUCUUGCCGGAGACGAGAGGAAGGAGUCUGGAGGACAUGGGGGCGCUCUUCGGUAAGAAGCCGGAGGGCGGAGAAGAAGAGAAGAAGAAGGGGGAGGCGGAAGGAGUGCACGGAGGUGGAGAAGAUAGCAAGGCGAAGACUGAGGUUUAACGCGACUACUCUCUAGUUACUUUGUUACUUGAACAUUGUGAACAAGAAUCACUAAAGAAAAACAAAAUCGUAAAGCACUUGAUGCAGGGUGCUUUAUGUUCUCGCUUAUUAGUUUCCUUUCAGCUGAGGCUAGAAAAUGAUUGUAUAAUUAGCUCAUCAGGUUCGGCUUGUUUGUUAUUGAGCCGAGCUCACAGCAACUCAUAUAAUUAUGAUAAUUAAAAUGAAAUAAUUGCAUAUACAUACAUAGCAUGCUGAAUCUGAGUAAGUUAAAUCUAGCUAGUUCCAACUUGGGUCAUUUGUUAAUUGAUCGAGAUAAACGUGAGCCAUAUUUCAUGGUGAAGAUGAGCUAAGGAUCGAGUGGCUUCCUCUGUUUGACGGUGUUCUAGCAAAGGAGCCAAGCAUGUGAAGGAGAGAUUAGUAAGGAGUCAGCGAAGAAAGAGGACGGUGGUCGAUGGGCAGGUUUAGGCUGGCGUGGUUGGGCUUGCAAGUUGAUGUGACUUCUGGACAGAGAGACUCGUUGAUCAUUUAGAGUACUGGACUCACCAAAAAAUAUGAAACAACAGUGGGAGCACUGGACCAUUGAUGUUCUUGAACAUUUUCCUAAUGAUUGUGGGCCCUUUUUUUGUCACGUCCUUGGACGCUUUCCUUAACCAUAGGGGCGCCUUUUUUCAUAUCAAAAACGUUGAAAAAAUAAUAAAAGAACGCCCCCUUCUCUAGAGUAAAUCAUGUGGCUGGUGGAUCCUAGGGAGGGCCGUCCAACCGUCUUGAUUUUUUUUUCGAGUAUUGGCCCAUGGCCUGACCCCAGAUGGUAUUCGAUAUUGUCAAUGAGCCAGCGCAAUCCCCAAACCUGAUUAAUAAUAUUGGCUUAAAUAACAUAUCUUUACCUCAUAUUAGUGUAUAUUUCACUGAUUUUAAGCUAAUUAUCUGCGGGAAAUAUUGAGUUUGAGUAAUCUGAUGGACGCUUAAGAUAUUGAGUAAUUUGUGUUAAUGGAGCAGAAUGAGAUUGUUUGACUUAUGUUUAGGCUAGAGGCGAGUCAUCUUUUUUUCAUGUAAUGCAGGUGCAGGACUAAGAUCUUGUUUGGCAUUAUCAUAAGUAGUAGAGCUUUUGUCUCUAGGAUUUUAGAUAGCGGAGCAUUUAAUAAAAAGUUAUUUAUUAUUUGGCAACUAUAUUCGUUAAGUAUUAUGGAAUUUUAAUACAUAUUUGGGUAUUCUAAAAUUUUGGAAUGAUUUGAAAAUUUGAAGGAUUAUUUUGAAAAUUAUUAAAGAUGAGAAGAUGUAUGUGAGAAUCUUCCAAACUUAAGGGGUCAAAAUAUAUUUUUUUCUUUUUUUCUGUUGCAAGAUUAUUUGCCUGUAACAUUUGGUUUCCAUGUGAUUUUGCCACGUUCCUGAAAGUAUCAAAAGAUUAGGCCUCCAUAUUGACAAGAAGAUAUUAAAAAAAAAAACCGACUCCUAACACUUUGAUAUCCAUUCCUUGUUUCCUUCUCAAUCUAGCCAACCACGGUUAUCAUCCUCGACCUUUCCCUUCUUUAUCUAAUCUUAUUCUCACAUUAUUCCCUUUCAGCUACUCCUGUUCCCAAACCUCCGCUCUAUCUUCUUCUACUUCCCUCAAUUCCUCGAAUGGUCGUGUAUCGAUCUAUCCUUUUUCCCCUAGGAUUCUUUGUUUUAUCAAGUCUUGCUUUAGUAAAAACUUUGCUAACUAGGAUUUCUAAGCUCUAGUAAGAGUUGUGAUAGCAUAAUUUUAGGAAUCACGUAACAACCUGCAUUGCCCAUCAUAUUUUUUUUAUUAACAUAAUUCUGUAUCAACCUAUAUUAUUUUUUUUAUUAGCAUAAGUUGUUAGAGUGAUUUUAUGGAUCACAUAGCAACUUGUAUCAGUCAAUAAUAUUUUUCAUUGUUAGUGUGAUUCUAUAUCAGUUUAUAUUAUUUUUCUUGUAUGGAGUCUAUACACAAAUAUGUAUAACCUCGAGAUGUACCAAAUAUGACGGAACAGAAAAAUAAAAUCACUUUUCUCUCUCAUUUUUUCUUUUUUUUUUGUAAAUAUUUUAAUAUGGUAUCAGAGACACCAAUCACCUAAUCUAUCACCAUCAUCUCUUUCACCUUUGUUGUGGUCGUCGUUAUUGUGUCUAGAAGCUUUGAAGACCCCUAUUGUCAAUCUAUCGAUCUCUAUUCUUGGAUGAAUCAACAUCCAAAAAUUCUCUAUUUUUUGGUAAAUCUGCAGAUCCUCUAUUUUCUAAUGAAUCAAUAUUGAUCUUAUUAGUAGAUCUGCAUAUACUCUAUUUCUGGUAGAUUAAUAUCCGAAGAUCCUUUGUUUUCUAUGAAUCCGCAGCUCCUCUUCACUGCUUUUCUUCUCAGCUUCAGAUCUUUAGUUAUCUCUCCUCACCAUUGCUCAGCUCCUAUCUCUUUAUGUCCGAUUUUAUUUGCUGCCUCCAGUGCCUUCAUCAUCCAGUUCGGGUCUCUUGCUCCUCUUCCAUGGUGCCUCCGUCUACGAGAAUCAUCGACCUUCGGUUGCUUCUCUCCAAGCUCUGUUCUUGAUGCAACUGUCAUCUUCUAUAUGUCUUAUUCUGUAAUAUUAUCAGACAAGUCAAUCAACUACAUCGACAGACAUAUCAAUCUGUUGCCCAAGGUGACAACCCAAGAGGGAGGGUGAGUUGGGUUUUCUAAAAAAUUAUGUUUCCUAUUUAACUUUGAAUCACUACAACAAUAAAGGGUUUUGGCGACUCUAUAUUUAACUUUGUAGCGUCGGCAAAUUUUUUUCUUGCAACGGUAACUGCCGACGCUUGUAGAAAGCGUGGGUAAAAAAUGUUCCGCCGACGCUUUUCGUAGGAAAAAAAUACGACGACGCUUAUAAGCGUCGUCGGACUUCACUCCUCCCCUCCACAAAACCCCGUCGGAUGGAGGUGGGCUGCCUUCUUCUCUUUCGAACCCUCUCCUCUCCUCUCAUUCGCCCUCCUCUCCGUCGCCAUUCCUGGCCAGUCCCGUCCUCGCCUCUCCUUAGAGCCUCCUCUUCCCCUCCGCCUAUUCCCUCUCCUCCCUCGGCUUAUCCUCAGGUACGCAGCCGUACCCUCCUCUCUUCUCCUCUCUCAUCUCUCUUCUUCUAUAACUUGGUUUCUUUGGUGCGAAGGGGGCUUACAGAGGCCCGAAACCCCGGCGGGAUUUGGUAGGCGACUGGGUCUCCAACAACGAUGGGUUCGUCCGGAGCUUGCCCAUCUUCGUGGGCGGCCUCUCCUUGCUCGCUGUCCUCCUUAACCGCGCCUUCUCCGGCAUCGCCCCCGUCACCGAUGCUUCCAGGUAUCUCCGUUCUCUUUUGUUCAUCCCUCGUUGCUAGUAUUUUGUCCUGCUGUUGAUCGAUCAAAGCUAGGUUUUACCAAGAUUUUGCUUCGAUCCAAGAAAUGAGGUGCAAUGGCCAUCUUGGUUUAUUUGAAUGUGGUAAUGGCUAUUCUCAGAGAGAGAGAUUUUUUUUGGGGGGGUUUUCUGUGUAAGUUUCUGAUUAAGAAGGGAUUUAGAAACUUAUGCUAUCAAUUAGCUCUUUAUUUGUUUAUUGAUUACAUGCCAAAUAGCUGAAUUACAGCUGAUAUGUCUUCUUUCUAUUCAAAGUAUGGCAGUAGAUAUCCUUACCAAGAAUUUUUUUUAAAAUUAAUUUCAUGUAAAAUUCUGAGUUCUGACCGUGAGCAAAGUUUUAUGGAUAGAAUGCUGGCAUCGACCCUCUUUCAAUCCUCUUCCUUGAGCAAAUGCAUAGAAAAAAUAAUGGAUUCAAAUCUUAAGGAUCGUAUGCAAGGAUUUGAAACUCUUUGUAUGUAAGUUCUGAAUUUUGUCAAUCCAAAAGAAUAAAAGUUCUCUUACCGUUUCCUUAAUUAUACUCACCCUUUUUACACCCUAUCCGUCUAAUUCACAAGCCAUAAACUUGAUUUUUCACAUUAGGUAUUUGCCAUGGUUUCGGCCCGGUUUGGGCAGUACCGUUUGAAACAAGUGCCAUCGAUACUUCAAAUAUUGCAGAGAUCAUUGAGACCUCACUAAUGAUAUGCAAUACUAGCUUUCCUCACUUAAUCCUUGGGAAGUUAUGGUCAUCAAAAGUUACACUCGGAAUACGCAAGCAUGCCUGCUUGCACUACAUGGGGCUUGUAUUGGUUAAUGUGUGAUGAGAGGUGUCUCUCCACCAUCGAGCCAAUCAGCCACCGAUAUGAAUAGAAGAGCAGAGGCUAGCUAUAAAUCCUCUUCAGGUACUACUAAUUUAAAGAUAAUAUAAAUUCUUUAUAGAAUGGUAUGAGAAAGUCCAAGGGUUACAAUUAAUAUUUCAUAUACUUGUGGAGUUCAAAUUCUUACUUUCUGAACUUUGAUUAUCUUGGAUUCAUUUUGCAGAACUUAUGGUUGUUGAUUAGGAUAAAAUAUAGCUAUUCAGCUGAUGUCUGUGCAUGUGGUGAUACUAUAGAAACUACACAUCACUGAAAAAAGUGUCCUACAACACAUGGAUGGUAUCAGUAGAACCAUAUGAAGGAUUGUCUUGAGUGGAUAUUUCUUGGAGAUUGCCAAAAGUAGGAAAUAUGAGAAUGGUCUAUUAAAGGUCCCAUGGGUCAGUUUUUACACAAUUUAUUAAAAUUUUAGCAGUAUUAUCUUUGAAUUUUAACGUAAUGCCAUCUUAUUAAUGAUGGGCAUACUUUUGAAAGUUCUCCAUACCCUGGCCUGUUUACUCGGACAUAUAUAUUAUUUAAAAUGCUUUUCUGAGCCAUUUGUUUCUUGUUUUGGUAUUCUAACCACAUCUGAUGCUAUCAUGCAAGCUAAUAUAGUAGCAUGUGAGAGCUCAGCUGGUGAAUAAUUCCUAGUGAUUUGAUUAGUUGUGUCUGAUGCUUCCAUUGUUCAUUGAAUUUAUUUGUCUCUUAUGAUUAAGUUUUUUAUUAAAAAAAAAAACAGGUUGCUUAGGAACAGGGUUUCUGCUCAGCAAGCUAGAGAAAGAAAGAAGGUUUAUGUGAAUGACCUAGAAUCCAGAGCCAAAGAGUUGCACGACAAAAAUUUGAAGUUAGAAGAAAAAAUUUCAACUUUGAUCAACGAGAACACUAUGCUUAGGAAGGUAUAUCCAAGAUAUUAUUUUCCCCUGAUCAAUAAGUUUCUAUAAAAUGGGUCACCUGUAGCUUCAGUUUUAAUCUGUCUAUUUUUAUUCUUUUCUGCAGGUUCUUAUGAACACCAGGCCUAAAGUUGAUGAAGGUAUUGAGCCACAAAAUGAUGUGCCAGGCAACAGUUAGCAAUUAGGAUAUCCAAGUUACUGUUUCACGAAUUAUUGUAAGAGAAGAAGUGAAUAUAUCAAAACUAUACAUUGGGAGUUUGUCAUAUCUUGAUGUGGAACUAGACUUGUUUGCUAUGUUUAUGAUUACUUAACCAUGUCUUCCUUGACAUUGUUCUGCUUUUUCCAAUUUGUCAGAGUUCUUUGUAAACUCUGUUUGCUUACCAUUGUUUUAAUUCUUCUGGAGCCACCCAAUCUUGAUGUGCGAAACCGAGUUGGUUUGGCUUGUUUCUUCUGUUUCGGCUUCGAACCGGCCAGAACCUAAGCUUCUUAUGGGUUGAAAGAUAUGUUUUAAUAUGUUCAUUGGUUCCUAAGCUUCUUAUGGGUUGAAUUGGUGACAUAUUAAAUGAUGGGUAAAUUUUGACAGUAACAACUAGUAAGUAAGAUAAAACCAGAUGAUGUACUGCUUGUUUAUCUAUAGAUGAAAAGUCUUGGAAAUUGAUGUUUGGUCAUGUUGGUUCUUUCCCAAACUCAUAACCAUUUUUCAGGAUGGGGGUUUGGGUUUUUUUUUUUUUAUUGUGUGUGUGGGUGGGGGGGGGGGGGGGGAGUUAUUUUUUCACGUUCUUGCAUAUGGUGGAUAAAACUAUUUUAGUUAUUAGUAGAAAGAUAAUGCAUCCAAUUGUUUGUCAUCUAUCCAUCUGUUCAAAUAGUAUACAAUUCAUUUUGUUUGUUUGAUUGAAUUCUGAACGUUUACCAUGCUACGCUUACUCUUUUGUUCUCUAAACAGUUCACAGUCAAGGGCGGACAUAUUAACCCUUGCUUUGGCAGUAACUAACCUUCUUUCUGGCCUUGUAUGGCUGUCAAUUCGCCCAAAAUAUAUUUCUCCUGUAAGGGUUUCAUCCUCCAAUUUGGAUGCAUCUUUUUCUUGAAGUUCAUUUUCAUGCUUCUUGCUUUAGUAUGAAUUUGUCAAAUGUUUAUCCAUAAGUUCUCUCCUACUUAACUGGCUGUUAUCAGGUUGUUCCUCAAGGUGUAGAUUGCAAGAGGAUAAAUUCUAAAAUUGCAAAUUAUGCAGUUCUUGAGUUGCUAUGGUAUAUUGACUUCUUAUAACAUAACCUCCCAUUUUGUUGCUCUUAUAUAUUGGUCAAACUCUAGAGAUAUAUAAUUCUAAAUUUCUAACACAUCUAUGAUAUCACUAUUGCCACCAGUAUUGUCGAUAAACUAAGUUAAAAUUAGUUUGCUAUAUCCAAUACGAGCUAUUUCAUGAUAUCUUUUAAAGAUUUGGUAAUUCCUUACAAUUGUCCAUUUUGUUGCUCUUAUAUUUUCAAAACUUUAGAGACAUAUAAGUAUAAUAGGUUAAGGAUAUCACCAUUGCCACCAAUACUAUCGAUAGAAUAAGUGACAGUUAGUGUGGUGCAUUGAAUGCAAUUUUUAUUUUCAUGAUAUCUUGAAAGAUUUCAUACUUCUUUACACUUGUACUUCUAGAGACUAAAGCAUUGGCUAUUUGUUUCUUAUUUUUUUUUUAAAUGAAAGGGCUUCAUGUCUCUUAGUUUACCUUUUUCAAUACUAUUAGUCUUGAUUCAAAUUGAUGGACCUGUUGAAUAGGGCUGCUUUGGGUUUAGGGUUUUAGGAAAAAAAAGAGUUAAUUUAGACGGUACUUGUAUGAUGGUAAAUUGCAUAAAUUUUCACUCCAAAAGUCCACUUUUCACAUUUCGCCACGUUUAAAUGUUUCUUUUAAUUUUUCCCUCCAAACUAAGAAAAAGUUAAAGUUUGUGCCUCUAUUUAGAAAGGAAAUCUGUUUGCUUAUUUAACCUAUUUGCAUGUUUGACUGAUAUCACCUUUGAUGGAGGAAAAAAGUAAAUUUUUCCCUGCUACUUGUAGCUCGGGAACUUUUUAAAGUUGGGAUAUUAAAAGUAUAUAACUGAAUGAAUAAAUAAACAAAUAAAGGGUAAAGUGCAUAAAAAUCUCGAACUUUGCCCAUUUUGCAUUAUUGGCAUGUUCAAACUUUCCUUUCAUAAUGGGUCUCUAAUACAACUUUUCUAGGUUCUUUUGCCCUUUUAUGAGAUACUAUUAUGUUUCUGCGCAGUUUAUGAUAUGAUUUGAUAUGCCCAUGUUUGUUUUGUCACCCGGCCAUACAGUCUGGUGCAGGCCCACAGGACUAGGCUUGUGCCUGCUGUACUUUCUACUAUCAGCCCAGCCGCCGGGAGUUGGUGCUAAAUUUGUUAGCUUGUCCCUAUAUCUUCAUCCACUUCAUCCACCAAUUCUGCAUGAAUGUCAUUAUCUCUAACAUGUAUGACUUUGUGUUCUUCUUGAACACAUGCGAGCUAUUCUUCUUGUGCUUCAUCCACAUGAACCCUAUUGCUUGAUUGUACCUGCACUUGCUUUGUGAUUGCAACCCCUUGGGGAGGUGGAGCUAUUCUAAGAGCUCCAUUGAUUUCUUAUUGUGAAGCUCUGUGCUUGGAACAGCUUUGCCUCCUCUCUUUGCCUCUUGAUUGCAAUGAAACCCUUCUUUUCUUAUUUUCUUGCUUUUUUUCUUACUACUCUUCAAUGAUUUCUCUUCUCGAAUUCUAAAGACUUCAUGGCUUUUUAAUAGGGUUGGUGGGGGGAGAAUCGUGGGAAUGAUUCUGGAUUUUAUAGGGGGUUUAAAACAUCAUCUUUGGAGUUUUAAUGGGGGUCACGGGUUGUUAAGAUCAGCCAUAUCUUUACUUUCUUGAAACUCAGGGUUUGAUUUGGUUGGGAAGCAGAUAGAGGGAUGCAAACAAGUAAAAAGGAUAUCAAGUGAAAAAUCCGGUCAUAUCCUAACACUAGGCAUCCGGUAUCCAUCUAGAUGGAAGGACAGUUUUAAUGUUCUGAUAUUAGGAUGGUAAUAAAUUUAACAAGCGAGAGAGUGGAUUGGAUCUUAACUUACGCUACUAUCCAAUUAGAUGAGAAGAACAAUUUUGCUAUUUCAAAAUUGGGAUAAUGAUAAAAUUAGCUUCAACUUUUGGGUAUUAGGUUGACAACAAAAGUUAUUAAUUGUAAAAUCUUUAAAAUCUAAAAAAUAUUCAAAAGAAUGAAUUCUACAUUUUGCAGUUCUUUUAGACAUAAUACAAUGUAUAUCAAGAUGGGGAUUUAAUUUGCUUAAAGGGCAAUUCCUUGAUUUGCUCGCAAGAAAAAUUUUCAUAGCGAGACAAAUUUAAUACAUUCCUCUCCAUUUAGCAAAAUUAGAAAAUCUUAACAUUAUUCACCUAAAAGAUCCGAAUUUUUAUAAUUCUUCAAUUGUAGGUGCAUGAAACAGUGAUCCAGAUUAUCAAAUUACCAUGACCCUGUUGGAUGUUUUCUGUAUAAAGGUUAUUCAUCAAAAAUCUGUUAGGUCAUUGUCAUCAUUCACUCUAAUGAUCGAAUACUUCGUCGUUGGCUAGAUCAACUACUCUCUCUUUGAGCAGAGAUAAAUGGAGGAGAUACAAUUUAUCUCUAUGAAAUGAUCAAAAUGAUGGCAUGACUUGAAAUGGAAAAGAUGCUUUGAAGAUGUAUAAAAGCAGAAAUUUAAAGAUCUGACACAAAGCUAGAGAUGCAAUCCCAAACUAAAUCCAUCUGAAAUCCACCCUUGCCUAUAACAUAGAGACAAGCUGGCUUAAAGAGGUUUCAGUUGAGACUUCCGAGGUAGGGUAUGGAAUGUGUAAGCAUGAUUGCGGUGUGCUUGUAAAGGGUGUUUGAAGAGUGUGCUUAAGAGUGAAGUUUACUGUACCAGUCGGUAUCGUACUGUACCAGGCUUACCGUACCAAACCGGUACACAGUUUUGUAUUGUAUCAACACUCGGUAUGCUUCGCUGUCUCAUAUCAUACCGUAUCCCGACAUUGUAAUAGGAUAGUACCGGUAUAAGGUCCGGUACCGAGACGGCGAACCUUGCUUAAGAGUGUGUUGUACUCCACUUUCUGAAAACUUCUUGUUCUUCUGUUAUACAAGAAUGAUCCUAAGUCUUCUACCAUAUUAUUUGCAAAGUAUUACCUCUAUUGCUGUUUGAUGGUACUUCAUUUUGUUUUGUUUUUGGAAUUUACCUUCUACUUUUUUAUAUCACCAAAUCUCCUGCAGAUAAGAAGAAUCUGGUUUAUCUUACUUGACAAAUUUUACUUUUACAACUCAGGGCAUGGGAAUCUCUUUCAGCUACGACAUGUUGUAGGUCAUUAGUUGUUGUGCAUGGAGGCUUCUGCCUUCUUCAAAUUGGAGUUGCAGCUGAAUCUCUAACAGAAGUUGGUGAAGCAGUGGCUGUUGAUGUACAUAAAUUGAUUCAAAGCUCAGUUUAUAGAAAUGUCGCCGAAUCUGGAAAACGUAGGUAUCAUACUAAUAUUCUGUUGCAGUUAAUUUAUUUUUAAUUUGGAACCCAUGAUACUUAUUUCUUUUUCCUUUUUUUCUAAAUAAAAGAGAGCUAUUUGGCAAACCUAUCUCUCUAUCCUGCAAAGUCCGAGCUUCCCUUCUUACCUACUACUACACAGGUACUGUUUAUCACCAUUUCACAUAAAUGUAAAGCACAUUUCUACUUUAUAAUUUGCUAGACAUAUAAAGAAUAUAUGCAAUGCUUGAAAACUUUUUGUUCAUUAAUUGCUAUCAUUCCAUCUUACUGAUGAGGUAAAAAAAUUGCGCCAUUUCUGAACUUGGGAGGCUCACAUUAAGCUAUACAUGUUGAUUAUGGAACUUGUACACUUUGAUAGUAGUGUCAGUGUAACAAGAAUAGAAAUGGUUCCUGUGUUUAAACUUGGGAUAUCAUGCAAAUGUAUUAAAAGUAAUAUGGGAAUUCUUGAGGAAAGAAAAGUGCGUGCGAUAUCUUCAAGUAAGGUCACACGACUGAUGUUUUUGGGCAUGAAAAUUAGUAACUAAUAGACAACCAUGGACUUUGGGAGCAGGUCGAUAUAAAUAAGUGUUUACUACUGGAAUGAAAUUAUUUAUUUUGGGAUACAAAUGCCAGUUGUACAAUUGAAUUCUCAAUUUGGUUAUUGCAUGCUGAGGCUAUGCCAUCCAGGGAUCAGCAUGGUAUGCAUGCUUUACGAUACUGUGCAGACAGUUGUCAUUACAAGUAUGCUGAAAUAUACGAUGCUGAUAAGUGGAUAUGUGAUAAGAAAUUCUACUUUUUGCAUUUAGAUUACACUUUUAAUUGUUGUCUAGUGGGAAGCAGAGAUGUUUUGUAUGUCCAAACAUCAUUUCUGUCCCAUUUAACAAACUUUACCUCCCAAGCUGAUUGGCAAAAAGACUAGCUGUAAAUAUGUGGUAUCUUGCAGAUGAAACUAGUAUAUUAGGGGAUCAAAGAGACAAUACACAAACAAGGCUCAACAUAAGGAAGUUUGGGAGAGAAAAGACAAGAAGCAAACCUUAACCAAUUUUAACUUCUUCCAUUGCAUUUUGGGACAACUCAACCAUUUGCUCCCUGGUUGAUAGGAGAGUGGAAACUGAAACAUUGAAAUGCAACUUGCUUGCAAUUUAGUUCUACUUGUAGCAUAUUCAUUAGCCAAGCAAACCAAAGAUUGUCUUUCAUUUUUGAUGUAGAAAUCAAUAGCCAAACCAGACAUUUUUUUAAUUUCUCAGAUUAAAUCCGGCAUUCUCAAACUUGAAACCCUUAAGAUGGAAUAUUAUACCUCGAUCAGCACAGUUAUCUAACCUAUAUAGCCUUCUCCUCUACCAUGUAGAAAGCAUGAUUGCUUUGUAUUAGUUUGUCCAAUUUAAAAGAGAGAAUAAAUUGAACACAAACUAAUAAUUAGUUAUGCUUUUUCCACUAGAAAAUAUCUGUACUAUUUGAAUAGACUUAUUCUAGAGAAGUUCUCUAUCCGAAUCCUUCAGUUGAACCAAAAGCUAGAUCUAACUCAGGUAUGUAGGAAUAAAUAGGAAAGUAAGCAGCAAACGU
rnacentral:lncRNA from 1 species